CCUCCAACUCUGAAGUGGAAAGAGAGGUGGCCUGUUCAGGAGAGCAAGGCACGACUGAGGAGCGAGGCUUUGGAUGAAGAUCUGCCACAGAACGAUGUGGAAGGGAUAUAAAUAUCCCCCAGGAGGGACCCCAGUGGAAGAAAGCAAAGAUGAUCCUGGUGAAGUAAUGCAGCUCUGAAGCUCACCUGACCAGCUGUACAGUUCCUGUUGUGGUUUUGCAUAAAGUAAUUGCACAUUAUUUUGUCAUAUUUUAUG